GACGAACGCUGGCGGCGUGCUUAACACAUGCAAGUCGAACGGAAAGGCCCUGCUUUUGUGGGGUGCUCGAGUGGCGAACGGGUGAGUAACACGUGAGUAACCUGCCCUUGACUUUGGGAUAACUUCAGGAAACUGGGGCUAAUACCGGAUAGGAGCGCCUGCUGCAUGGUGGGGGUUGGAAAGUUUCGGCGGUUGGGGAUGGACUCGCGGCUUAUCAGCUUGUUGGUGGGGUAGUGGCUUACCAAGGCAUUGACGGGUAGCCGGCCUGAGAGGGUGACCGGCCACAGUGGGACUGAGAUAGGGGCCAGACUCCUACGGGGGGCAGCAGUGGGAAAUAGUGCACAAUGGGCGGAAGCCGGAUGCAGCAACGCCGCGUGCGGGAUGACGGCCGUCGGGUUGUAAACCGCUUUCGCGUGGGACGAAGCGUGAGUGACGGUAAUGGGUAAAGAAGCACCGGCUAACUACGUG
rnacentral:rRNA from 1 species